UCUUUUCUCAGCAGCAUCAGUAAUAUCCUGGAUGCAAGAUCAAUUGGAGUAAAAAGUUUUGAAGACUAUGCUAUUUCUUGGUACUGGAUUUUAAUUGGGCUGUUCGUUGCAAUGAUUGUGAGUCUGCUCUUCCUUGUGUUAUUGAGGUUCACAGCUGGGAUUCUCUUCUGGAUUUUCAUCUUUGGCGUGACUGGAAUUAUAGGUUAUGGCAUCUGGCAUUGUCGCUGGGAGUACGACCAUCUUAAAGGAAUACCUGGAUCUGAGCUCACUGUUUCUGGUACUGAAUUCCAGACAGACUUGAGAGUGCACCUGCAGCUGAGGCAAACAUGGUUAGCAUUUAGUAAGUGCCCUUUAAACUUGGUAUCCGUUAAGGGAUGUUCAGAAGAUUCAGUCGCUGUCUUGCUACAGUUUCUGCCUUGUUAAAUCUCCUCCUCUACAUAUGUUGCUCAUAGAAGUAAUCAGAAUUCAC